rnacentral:tRNA from 1 species
UUGUAGCUUAGCGGCAGAGUACUGGUGCGUAAAACCAAGGGCCCCGGGUUCGAUUCCCGGCAA